rnacentral:sRNA from 1 species
GCCAGGUGUGGUGGUGGAUGCCUGUAAUCUCAGCAGCUCAGGAGGCUGAGGCAUGAGGAUCAUGAGUUCAAAGUCAGCCUCAGAAAUUUAGUGAGGCCCUAAGCAACUCAGUGAGACCCUGUCUCUA